GGAGAAGCAAAGUGAUGAGCUUUGCUGGCUGGAGUCCCAAAGAGGCACAUGUAUGCGUGUGUGCGUGCCUGUGUCUGACUGCGCAUGUGUGUCUGGAGUAUGAAUGUGUAUGAUGGUGAUAGGGACUAAUUGUGUGCCUUCUGUUGGACGAUGACAGUCAAACUGAUAAGAUCUGAUUGCUUC